rnacentral:rRNA from 1 species
GGACUGUAGUCUGCAACCCGACUACACGAAGCUGGAAUCGCUAGUAAUCGCGAAUCAGAAUGUCGCGGUGAAUACGUUCCCGGGUCUUGUACACACCGCCCGUCACACCAUGGGAGUCGGGAAUGCCCGAAGUCAGUGACCCAACCUUUGGAGGGAGCUGCCGAAGGCAGGUCUGAUAACUGGGGUGAAGUCGUAACAAGGUAGC